GGAAGGGCCGUAGCUCAGUGGUAGAGCAUCUGACUUACAAGCAGGAGGUCCCAGGUUCAAUCCCUGGCCUGUCUA